rnacentral:rRNA from 1 species
CUACGGUGAAUACGUUCCCGGACCUUGUACACACCGCCCGUCAAGCCAUGGAAGCUGGGUGUACCUAAAGUCGAUAACCGUAAGGAGUCGCCUAGGGUAAAACCGGUAACUGGGGCU